ensembl:lncRNA
AUGUUUUUGUCCUGGCUACAUGGUCUUUGGUUGAAGUUUAAGCGCCUGUUUUUCUUCCGGACAAGAUCUACCCCCCAGCUUUCUACCUCGGUGACCUCUGGCUCCAAAGAACUAAUGAUGGAGACUCCCCAUUCUUCUUCACUGGGGCUUUCCCAUUCACACUAUGUGGAUACAAAAGAAGCAGAGAUGCUGAGGGACCUGUACGUGGUGCUAUGGACAAUGAGAGAGCGGAUCCGAGAGCUAGUUCGGCGGCAGGAGAAAAGGAGGCGGCGGCAUUCCAAAACCCCUACCUGUACCUCAACUCCUCGAGAAUCAAAACAGGAUGCCCGAAGUCCCCUCUAGGGGACCCCAGACCCACACGCGGUCCCUCUCUUUCUCCCCUUGUGCAGACCCCCAUCUCUGGCGAAGGGGGAGCUUAACAGGCCCCUGGGUGGGGGAUCAGGACAGCAGGCCGGGGUUGGGGUGUGGGCAAAGAGUUCUUUGAUCUCUUUCCCUCAGGUGAGGAGGUCCAGGACCGGGUCUGGAGUCCUGCCAGACCCGUUGGGAUGAGGGAUGGGUAGUGCUUCACGAUGUUUAUUCAAAUUAAGUAGUGUCCUGAAUUAAAAGAGAGAUUUGUUUCUGAAGUCCUAAACAAUGCCGUGUGCAAGGGGGUGGGGCAGUAAUCGGGAGGAGCCUUAGAGUUGCAACAUCAUGGGUGAGGGGGGGUCAAGAUGUGGGCCAAGGUGAGGGCCCAGGCGAGGGCUUUGAGGCCUGUCAGAAAGCAAUAUUUAGGUUGCACACUGCCUUAAAGCUGCGGCUCUCCUCCCUAAAGGAGGGGGUUGAAGUGGAAGUGGCGAUGCCCACGUCGUCCUUAGGGUGAGGCGGAAGGGGUAAGUAAUUCACCAAAAAAGAGAGGAAUCAUUUUAUGGUAGAGAGUUUUCUCUACCUCAGCCUCACCCCCUUAUGCUAAUUUAAGAUUAUCCCAAAUCCUACUCCCGCGUUUAAAGCGGAGAUUGCAGGAAACUACAACUCCCAGCAGCCCUAGCACCACCCGGAUGUUUCGGGUGGAAGCACAAGUGUGGUACCCUUUCUUUUCUCCAACCUCCCUCUCCUCCUAACUUCUUUAUUCUUUUUAGUAAUCUUCUGCUUGACUAGGGACGGGGUUCUUCAGUAGUUGGGGGCUCUAGCCCCCACUUCACACACCGCUGCCACUGCCACUGCGUGUGUGCGAAGUGUGUGUGUGUGGGGGGGGAGGGGAAUGCAAUAAGCCCAGGUGGAAUGAGGAACUGGGAAAUUGGGAAUCUGUGCGUGAGGGAGAGAGGAAGAUGGCACCCAGGACUGUGGGACCUGGAACGGGAAUGGCACCAGAACAGAAAGGAAGAGAGGGAAUUAGAUUUUUUUUUUUUUGGAAGGGAGGUGGCUUCGGAGUCUAUUACAAAGGCGGAGGUGUCUAUGUGUGUGGAAAUUGAUGAUCUAGAGAAAUUGUAGAAAUUCAGUAACCCCACUGAGAAAGAAACCUGGCAUUAAAAUCAGGGGACCUAAAUAAAUUCAUAAACUGGAUAAUGUCA